rnacentral:rRNA from 1 species
AACGAACGCUGGCGGCAGGCUUAACACAUGCAAGUCGAGCGCCCCGCAAGGGGAGCGGCAGACGGGUGAGUAACGCGUGGGAACGUACCCUUUGCUACGGAAUAGCUCCGGGAAACUGGAAUUAAUACCGUAUGUGCCCUACGGGGGAAAGAUUUAUCGGCAAAGGAUCGGCCCGCGUUGGAUUAGCUAGUUGGUGGGGUAAUGGCCUACCAAGGCGACGAUCCAUAGCUGGUCUGAGAGGAUGAUCAGCCACAUUGGGACUGGGACACGGGCCAAACUCCUACGGGAGGCAGCAGUGGGGAAUAUUGGACAAUGGGCGCAAGCCUGAUCCAGCCAUGCCGCGUGAGUGACGAAGGCCUUAGGGUUGUAAAGCUCUUUCACCGGAGAAGAUAAUGACGGUAUCCGGAGAAGAAGCCCCGGCUAACUUCGUGCCAGCCGCCGCCGUAAUAC